UACGUAGGUGGCAAGCGUUGUCCGGAAUUAUUGGGCGUAAAGCGCGCGCAGGCGGCCUUUUAAGUCUGAUGUGAAAGCCCACGGCUCAACCGUGGAAGGUCAUUGGAAACUGACAGGCUUGAGUACAGAAGAGGAAAGCGGAAUUCCACGUGUAGCGGUGAAAUGCGUAGAGAUGUGGAGGAACACCAGUGGCGAAGGCGGCUUCCUGGUCUGUAACUGACGCUGAGGCGCGAAAGCGUGGGGAGCAAACAGG
rnacentral:rRNA from 1 species